rnacentral:rRNA from 1 species
UACGUAGGGGGCAAGCGUUGUCCGGAAUCAUUGGGCGUAAAGAGCGCGUAGGCGGCCACGCAGGUCCGCUGUGAAAACUCGAGGCUCAACCUCGAGCUGUCGGUGGAAACCGCGUGGCUAGAGUCCGGAAGAGGGGACUGGAAUUCCCGGUGUAGCGGUGGAAUGCGUAGAUAUCGUAAGGAAGACCAGUGGCGAAGGCGGGUCUCUGGACAGUUCCUGACGCUGAGGCACGA